rnacentral:misc_RNA from 1 species
GGCAAUUUCUUGAGCUUUGCAAUCCAGAGUUCAUUCAAUGUUGCAUUUUCUUUACUUAAUAGAUUAGUUUAUUUUUCUUCCAUUCCAAGAUCCAUAGAUGUUGUAUUAUUCAUCAGUAGCUAAGCAAUAAUUAUUCAGGUUUUCGACAUGUGAUGAUGGCAAAUUUGAUGAGACCUUUCUUGUAUCCUUCAAUCAUCAGUGGCAUUGCCAGUGCAGCUUUGAUUGUCUUCCAUCCACUGCGUAGUACUGAUGUGAAGCCCUUCCAUGUCAGUGCUGACUUUAUGACUGCUGGCCAAAAUGGAGCAACAUUCUCAGACCAGUCUUCUGCCUUGAUAUCCUGAAGAGAAUUGGAUUGAAGUAACUUCACAUAAUCAGCAGUGGAACACCAAGCCGGAAGAUAGAAGGCUUUGCAUAUCUUAUUUAACAGCUCUUUCUCCUCUGGAGUCAGAGAUUCCUCCGAAGGGGAAAGGUCCCUGUGGCACCAUGUGACAAGGAUGAUUGUGCCUCCUGGUGCUGCCACUCGAGCUAAUUCGCCAACAAACUUUUCUUUGUUCGGCAUGUGUUCUCCACUCUCCAUGGACCAAACCAAGUCGAAUUGCCCAUCUGGAAAAGGCUGAUUCAA